GUUCCUGUAGUUGAGAUACUACAACAGUGGUUUUUCAGGCCAUAGGUCCUGGAGAGAAACCAGGCGGGAACU
rnacentral:tRNA from 1 species